rnacentral:rRNA from 1 species
UAAGCAAUUAUACAGCGAAACUGCGAAUGGCUCAUUAUAUAAGUUAUCGUUUAUUUGAUAGUACCUUACUACUUGGAUAACCGUGGUAAUUCUAGAGCUAAUACAUGCUAAAAAUCCCGACUUCGGAAGGGAUGUAUUUAUUAGAUUAAAAACCAAUGCCCUCUGGGCUCCUUGGUGAUUCAUAAUAACUUUUCGAAUCGCAUGGCCUUGCGCCGGCGAUGGUUCAUUCAAAUUUCUUCCCUAUCAACUUUCGAUGUUUGGGUAUUGGCCAAACAUGGUCGCAACGGGUAACGGAGGGUUAGGGCUCGACCCCGGAGAAGGAGCCUGAGAAACGGCUACUACAUCCAAGGAAGGCAGCAGGCGCGCAAAUUACCCAAUCCCGAUUCGGGGAGGUAGUGACAAUAAAUACUGAUACAGGGCUCUUUUGGGUCUUGUAAUUGGAAUGAGUACAAUUUAAAUCCCUUAACGAGGAACAAUUGGAGGGCAAGUCUGGUGCCAGCAGCCGCGGUAAUUCCAGCUCCAAUAGCGUAUAUUAAAGUUGUUGUGGUUAAAAAGCUCGUAGUUGAACCUUGGGCCUGGCUGGCCGGUCCGCCUCACCGCGUGUACUGGUCCGGCCGGGCCUUUCCCUCUGUGGAACCUCAUGCCCUUCACUGGGUGUGGCGGGGAAACAGGACUUUUACUUUGAAAAAAUUAGAGUGCUCCAGGCAGGCCUAUGCUCGAAUACAUUAGCAUGGAAUAAUGAAAUAGGACGUGUGGUUCUAUUUUGUUGGUUUCUAGGACCGCCGUAAUGAUUAAUAGGGACAGUCGGGGGCAUCAGUAUUCAAUUGUCAGAGGUGAAAUUCUUGGAUUUAUUGAAGACUAACUACUGCGAAAGCAUUUGCCAAGGAUGUUUUCAUUAAUCAGGAACGAAAGUUAGGGGAUCGAAGACGAUCAGAUACCGUCGUAGUCUUAACCAUAAACUAUGCCGACUAGGGAUCGGACGAUGUUAUUUUUUGACGCGUUCGGCA